UCUAUUCAUUUAGUUGUUUCCUCCAGUCAUUCCAUCCUUCUGGUCUUACAAUGGCAUCAAAUUCACAAUACGAAUAUAAAACUCGUGAAUAAUCCCCCAAGCUCCUCCCAAGAAAGUUCUUCCUUUUACCCCAAGCCUGUAUAAGCUGCUACUGCAUAUCCAUCCUCUAGAACAUGGAGAGCACACUACUAUUCAAUUCAUCAUUAUUAAAGUCGACUCGAAACUAUCUGCAGGAUUAGUCCAUGCUCCAAUACACUCAAGUUUAGCAGCACAACCAUUUUCCAUCGAUGAAGGCAUUUUAGGACUCAAACCACUUAAC
rnacentral:lncRNA from 1 species